CAUUCAUGUUUCUGUCUCAACAACAGUUUACAAGAUUUAAAAAUAAAACAAGUUUAAUGCAGCUCGGAGCUAAAACUAUAUAUUUUAAUGAGCCGGCUUACUUGUUACCUAACAAAGUUUGCUCGGUGUGGUUGGAGAGCUAAACGAGCCAAUGUUAGCGACCUGCUAGUGCAAGCAGCUGCAAUCUGCAUAAGGAGCCUGCACAAGAGAAAUGUCUUCACAUCAUGUCCACUGGGGGGCAGUAUAACCCCAGUGGUGAGCCACUGGUCGGCCAGCAAGAACUCCCCCUGGAUGUCCUCGAGUUUAGUGUUGGCCUCUGAGGGACCAAGUGGAGGGGAAAGUCACCUACACCAAACGCUGUUGUUAUAGUGAGGACUGAGUACGGUGGAUCCUCCCUAGGAUUGCUCUUCUGAGAGGCUGCAGUUUAUUACAAAUGGGAAAGCUUUCAUUGCAGAUUGCCCCAGCACUGCGUAGAGAUGCUCACCUGGUUCAGUUUCCGAUGGCAGCACACAAAGCACCAGGCAUCCUUUUUUUACCCUGCCACAUCCAGCUGCUCCUGGGGGAUCCCGAGGCGUUCCCACGCUGGCCGAAAUAUGUCAACCCCUUCAGCAUGUUCUGGGUCUGCCCUGGGGUGUCUUUCCCCGUUGGACGUGCACGGACUACUUUGGCAUUCUGGCA